GAUGAACGCUGGCGGCAUGCCUAAUACAUGCAAGUCGAGCGGAUAAAGGGGGCUCUUGCCCCGAUUCAGUGAGCGGCGGACGAGUAAUUAACACGUGUCUACCCUGCCGUGGAGGAUGACAUCACGUAAGGGGAGCUAAUAUAAUACCGGAUCAGAGGUUGAAACUCGGGGUUCAACGGUCCAAGAGCUAUUUGCUGAGCCUAGGUCGGAUUAGCUAGUUGGUAGGGUAAUGGCCUACCAAGGCGACGAUCCGUAACAAAUCUGAGAGGCUGAUCGGUCACACUGGAACUGAGACACGGUCCAGACUCCUACGGGAGGCAGCAGUGGGGAAUAUUGGGCAAUGGGCGAAAGCCUGACGCAGCAAGGCCGCGUGUGUGAGGAAGGUCUUCGGAUUGUAAAGCACUUUGAUUUGGGAGGAAGGGGAGUAGAUUAAAACCUUCAUGUAUUGACGGUACCUACACAGAAAGCCACGGCUAACUACGUG
rnacentral:rRNA from 1 species